GGGGUCGUAGCUCAGUCUGGGAGAGCACGGGGCUGAAGACCUCGGUGUCGCGGGUUCAAAUCCCGCCGACCCCA
rnacentral:tRNA from 1 species